AUGAAAGUGACCUGGCUGUAACAGCUGUCACCCAUUGAUCACCAAGAUCCAUUAAUUUGACUGAUCUGGAUGGCUAGGCAGGUGUCCACUUCCUCCCUCACCAUCCAUGUACAUCCCUCCCAAGCUAUGUGUUCAUGCUCAGUNAAAGAAGACAAUCUUCUCCAAAUGGAAGAUGACUAGUCUGUUGUGGAAUAUUACUUUAACUAGGCAAAGAUGUGGUACCUUUGUUUAUGCGGCAGAAUGUUACUUUAACUGUGUAGAGGUGUGUCACAUUUGUU
rnacentral:snRNA from 1 species